GAGAUCAUUAAUAGUAGUAAGCUUGGUGACAUUAGUCAUGUUGUUUAUGUGAAGGGUGAUAGUGUUUGUUUUCGAAGAGGAAGGAGGAGCAGACAUGGUGGCUCAAGAAAUUUUGCAAAGAAAAAAUCAUUAGGGAUCGUUGGCUCUUAAAUCCAUGUAAAUAUUAUGAAUGGAUAAUCUUUAUUGACUAGAGGAAUGAGAUUAUAUACACAUACAAACAUUGCUAGGGUAUUUUUUAGAGAGUAAUUACAUUACGUAGUUUACAUAAAUAGAGGACUGAACUGAGAAAUCAUAUACUAUGAUUGAUCCUUCAUGCAAAGUAACUUUGAUUGUUCUUAUGAAACUACGACAGUUCAACUACAAAAACUACCAUGUCGCUAUAGAGAAUAAUAAAUUGUUGAUGAAGCAUAAUCCUUCACUAAAUUAAGAACUCAAUCACCAGAACCACAAAAUUCUUAUCACCGCUGCCUUAAUUUUAAACUCCACAACACAAUUCAAUUAAGCUAUUAAUGAAGUUCAUAAAACUUUUUCACUAUACCACAAUUACACACAUAGAACAAUGUCAUCACCUUUUAGCAGUACGAGCCAGUUUGUGUUUAGUCCUCAGUUCCCGCUCUGACAUCUGUUGAACACAAAACCUCCAUCUCUAGAAAACCAAACAGCCACAGAAACAUUACUUAACUGAAAAAACUCAAAUAUGAAAUUGAUAAUCUUUGCUUGUAGACAUAACUCUGAAACUCUUCCAAAUCGUUUACAUUUGAAUCCAAUAAAGGACGAGGCGAUCACGACCUCAUUGAUCAACCCUAUGACUCAUUCACUAUAUUUAAGAGAUGAAGACUAAACCCUAGAUCCCAAUCCACUCGGUAAACCCAAUGACUCAUACCCUACAAAACAUACAUAUUCUGGUGAGAAAUCUUAAAAUUUCAUAGCAUCAUGUGAUAAAUUACACUGACAUGCAACACAAUUAAAAAUGAGAAGACGAUGGUGUGUCAGAUUUACUCGCCGGUGGACCUCGCCGUCCCUUAAGGCCAUUAGAGGAACAAUCCGAAUUGUUUUCGGACGCCGAUAUCAAUGACCGAGAAAACCGAAUCGUCAAAUCGAGAAGAAUUUUAAUUUUUACCCGAUACCAACAAAUAUUGGUCUCGGAGACCAAGAAAUCUGGUGGUUUAGCCCGAAAAAUCCAACCAUUUAAGGUGAAUUGAUUUAUUUAGCCGGAUUUAUCAAGAAUCGGUUCAGAUUUCACCUGAGAUGGUCGAUAGAGAAGGAAGAGAUAUUCGGCGAGAAAAAGAAAGAAACUAUGAAAGAAAUAAUAAUUUUUCCUAUUCAUUUUACUCAUCACGCAAUCACAAUUAGACAAUGGCGGUGCUUAAUCG
rnacentral:lncRNA from 1 species